CGUCAGGAUGAACGCUAGCGGCAGGCUUAACACAUGCAAGUCGAGGGGCAUCGGGAGUAGCAAUACUUGCCGGCGACCGGCGCGAGGGUGCGUAACGCGUGAGCAACAUGCCCGUAUCAGGGGGAUAAUCCAUGGAAACGUAGUCUAAUACCCAUAGUAAUUAUGUAAGGCAUCUUAUAUAAUUUAAAGCUUUGGUGGAUACGGAUUGGCUCGCGUGACAUUAGCUAGAUGGUAAGGUAACGGCUUACCAUGGCUACGAUGUCUAGGGGUUCUGAGAGGAAGGUCCCCCCACACUGGAACUGAGACACGGUCCAGACUCCUACGGGAGGCAGCAGUGAGGAAUAUUGGACAAUGGAUGGAAAUCUGAUCCAGCCAUGCCGCGUGCAGGAAAGACGGCCCUAUGGGUUGUAAACUGCUUUUGUAUGGGAGCAAUAAGGGCUACGCGUAGUCCGAUGAGAGUACCAUACGAAUAAGCACCGGCUAACUCCGUGCCAGCAGCAGC
rnacentral:rRNA from 1 species